UUGUUGUCACAAAUAAAAAACAUUCUAGGUUACAGAUUAUUUUGAGGUCACAGAUCAUUCAAAUUACAGGUCACAAUUUAUCUAUAGAUCACAUAGUUUCAAAUUUAUUGGUCACAAAUUAUUUGUUUCGUUACAGAUUAUCGAAUUUUAAAGUCAUAGAUUAAUAAUUAGUCCAAAUAAUUGGUCACAUGCACCAAACAGUUGGUCAUGGAUUAAUAAUUAGUCUAAAUAGUUGAUCACAUGCACCAAAUACCUUUCCACCAGUCCUGAUUCAGCACUAAUCUUGGUCAUAAAUCACCACUAUACAACCAUCGCUUGCACCACACCAUCGCAACCUCACCAACAAAGCCAGCACCACUAACCAAAACUAUUCUACAUCCAUCAUAAAAUCAAAUUCACGAUAACGUAUAGCUCACGAUUCACUAUACCCACAACACAUUCCCGCACCAAUAUCGCAUCCAACCACAUAUCGACAGUGCACAUCACCACGCUGCAUCCAACCACUGCACACUAGCAGUACCACCAUGCCACCAACACCACUACACCCACGGCAGGCACACACACCACCACCACAUCCAACCACACUACCGUCUAAUAGCAUAACCCCAGCACCACCACCUUAUUGCACAACCGUCAGAUUCAAAACCAACUACGGGUGAUGAGGUCGCAGCAGCGUCACUGGUUGCUCCAAAGCGAUGGCGUUGCGGUGGUGGCGUCUUGAGAGUCAAGCCACGGCACCAACGCCAUCUCUGGUAGCAAUUUUCGAUGAAGAGAAAUGGAAGUAUAUAUAGAAAGAAAAUAGAAAUCGCCAUUGACACCACACCAAGAAAUCUUCCAGUGGUGAUGUCGCCGUGCAAAUAGUGCAACUACAAUAGGAAAAUUGUUGUGCCAGAGAUAAUCUUCCAUUGGUGGCGUGAUUACUGUUGAGAGAGGAGAGAUUAGGGAGCAUAAUAGAGUGAGA
rnacentral:lncRNA from 1 species